rnacentral:rRNA from 1 species
CAGUAGCCGCGGGAAUACGUAGGGUCCGAGCGUUGUCCGGAAUUAUUGGGCGUAAAGGGCGCGUAGGCGGUUCACGCAGUCAGAUGUGAAAUUCCUGGGCUUAACCUGGGGGCUGCAUUUGAGACGCGUGGGCUUGAGUGUGAAAGAGGGUCGUGGAAUUCCCAGUGUAGAGGUGAAAUUCGUAGAUAUUGGGAAGAACACCGGUGGCGAAGGCGGCGACCUGGUUCACAACUGACGCUGAGGCGCGAAAGCGUGGGGAGCAAACAGGAUUAGAUACCCCAGUAGUCCCUGUCUCUUAUAC